AGUUGCAAAAUGGACGCAAUUUUUUCACUUAUUGCCAAUAAAUACCUGCAUUAGCAAUAAUUGAUAUGUCUAGUAAAUGCGGGAUACUUAUAAAGGCGCUGGACUGCGAUGGGUAUCAUUCGUUAGUCGCAAAACCGGCCGAACAAUGUGGAAACUCGGAUUUUUGUUUUUCCUUGCCAUGUGUGCUGCUAGGGCCGCACCCAAACCGGGCCUCAGAUCGCCAUAUGAAGUGCUCUCAACUUAUACAGGAUCCUAUCUUCCAGCUUACGCUCUUCGCUCCUACUGGCCGUCCUACUAUGGUUACCCAUGGUGGGGAAAAUACGGAUACUACGGAUAUGGGUGGUGAGGGGCCGAUAGCGAUCUUCUAGAGCACGUUUGCAUUAUUUAUAUGUAUUUUUGAUAAUAAUGAUAAUAAGCUGGCUUACAA